rnacentral:rRNA from 1 species
GAUGAACGCUGACAGAAUGCUUAACACAUGCAAGUCAACUUGAAUUUGGGUUUUUACCUUAGGUUUGGGUGGCGGACGGGUGAGUAACGCGUAAAGAACUUGCCUCACAGCUAGGGACAACAUUUGGAAACGAAUGCUAAUACCUAAUAUUAUGAUAAUAGGGCAUCCUAUAAUUAUGAAAGCUAUAAGCGCUGUGAGAGAGCUUUGCGUCCCAUUAGCUAGUUGGAGAGGUAACGGCUCACCAAGGCGAUGAUGGGUAGCCGGCCUGAGAGGGUGAUCGGCCACAAGGGGACUGAGACACGGCCCUUACUCCUACGGGAGGCAGGAGUGGGGAAUAUUGGACAAUGGACCGAGAGUCUGAUCCAGCAAUUCUGUGUGCACGAUGAAGUUUUUCGGAAUGUAAAGUGCUUUCAGUUGGGAAGAAACAAAUGACGGUACCAACAGAAGAAGUGACGGCUAAAUACGUG